UAGGGAAUCUUCCACAAUGGACGCAAGUCUGAUGGAGCAACGCCGCGUGAGUGAAGAAGGUUUUCGGACCGUAAAGCUCUGUUGUUGGUGAAGAAGGAUAGAGGUAGUAACUGGCCUUUAUUUGACGGUAAUCAACCAGAAAGUCACGGCUAACUACGUGCCAGCAGCCGCGGUAAUCGUAGGUGGCAAGCGUUGUCCGGAUUUAUUGGGCGUAAAGCGAGCGCAGGCGGAAGAAUAAGUCUGAUGUGAAAGCCCUCGGCUUAACCGAGGAAUUGCAUCGGAAACUGUUUUCUUGAGUGCAGAAGAGGAGAGUAGAACUCCAUGUGUAGCGGUGGAAUGCGUAGAUAUAUGGAAGAAUACCAGUGGCGAAGGCGGCUCUCUGGUCUGCAACUGACGCUGAGGCUCGAAAGCAUGGGUAGCGAACAGGAUUAGAUACCCUGGUAGUCCAUGCCGUAAACGAUGAGUGCUAAGUGUUGGGAGGCUUCCGCCUCUCAGUGCUGCAGCUAACGCAUUAAGCACUCCGCCUGGGGGAGUACGACCGCAAGGUUGAAAC
rnacentral:rRNA from 1 species